ensembl:snRNA U6 U6 spliceosomal RNA
GUGCCCACUUUGGUAAUACAUAUACCAAAAUUGGAGUGAUAUAGAGAAUAUUAGUGUGGCCUUUGUGCAAGGAUGACACACAAAUUCAUGAAGCAUUCCAUAUUUUU